AUUCAGUUGACGAGUCCAAAAUGGGAUGAAACGUAUGUCCUGUAU
rnacentral:hammerhead_ribozyme from 1 species